GAUUUUAAAUUAUGAUGGUUACAUACUAUAACUUAAGUCAGUGCAGAGCCUUCUUAAACCCCUCCCUUAGGAAUUGUUUAAAAAGAAGUGAAUUCCCAAACCUGUGUCAAGAACCAGUGAUUUAAAUAACUGUGAGACAAGUCUUUGAAAGGCUUCCUUGAGUCUAGUCAAUGGAGAUAAAUGAUAGCCCAUUUCCAUGCUGCAUACAGUUGUUAGGGUUUAUAAAGUUGUCAAUAUGUAAAAGUGCAAAAGCAGGAAAGACUGUAAAGUUGCCUAUAAAAUUUCUAGUUUUCAUUAUUUGCACUAUUUAUCUUUGCACUUGAUUUUUUGAAAGUUAAGACUAGUCACUUUCACUUUUGUU
rnacentral:lncRNA from 1 species